rnacentral:rRNA from 1 species
UGUGUAGGCGGAAUGGUCAGCGUCUUGUGAAAUCCCUCGGCUCAACCGAGGAAUUGCUCGGCGAACUGCCAUUCUUGAGGCAGGUAGGGGUCAGUGGAACUGUUGGUGGAGCGGUGGAAUGCGUAGAUAUCAACAGGAACGCCGGUGGAGAAAUCGGCUGACUGGGCCUGUCCUGACGCUGAGACACGAAAGCGUGGGGAGCGAACAGGAUUAGAUACCCUGGUAGUCC